UACUGUAAUACUUGAAUCAACCUUUUUUCUGUCUCUGGGCGAGCACUUGCACUUCCCCCUCCUGCUCUGUGUUGUUCUAGUCUUUCAACUGACUUUUGUCUCCAAAGCUUCAGGGAGUGAUGCAGCAAAAGAAAGACUGGUCGCUCCACCAGAGCAGAGUCCCGUUCAGGAGGGAAAAUAUCCGAUCCCUGAAGAUGCCUGGUGCACAGAUGGGUCCAGCAAGGGCAACCCGAGCGAGUGGAGAGCAGCAGCGUACGAUCCUUGCAGCGAGACGAUCUGGUUGGACGAGGGGGAUGGUCAGAGCAGGCAACGGGCAGAACUGCGAGCCGUGUGGAUGGUUGUGAGCGAGGGACCCGGUGAUGGCAUCCUGAACAUCUGCACAGAUAGUUGGGCUGUGUGCCGGGGGCUCACUCUUUGCAUUGCGCAGUGGGCCACCCAGGAAUGGACUGUCCACCCCCCCGAUCUGGGGCAAGGACGUGGUUGGAGAUACGGAAUGCAGUCAGACACAGGACUGUAAGUGCUACCGAGCUUCUGGUUAUCAGCCCAGUGGCGUGGCCUACUUGCACACUUGACACUCACCCCGUGUAUCUGCUCAUUCCUAGGUGAAUCUCAGUGGUUUUGACCCAGGCCCAGUGUGGUGCACUGAGUGCUUCCUUCAGUGCCGAGCUCUCAGGAAGCACGAAUCGCUGCAGGUCUGAUGGCUGCCUUCCACAGCACAACAGUGAUGGGGAUAAGGAGCUCAUCCACCGUCCCGCCCUCGUUUCUCCUGGCUCUGCUGAAGAUGCUGACGUGAGCCCAGCAGCCAUCGCAGUCCCCAGCCUGGAUUGUGACCCAGUGUCUUUGCAGUGCAGCCCAGCCAAGCGGAGUCCGAGUGCCCGGCCAGCAGCAGCUCCACGAGGAGCGGCAGCCCGCUGAUCAUCGGGGGCUCAAUUUGCCACCAGGGAGCGUCAGCGGUCACUGAAGGCUUCGUUGGCUGUCAGAGGGCUCCACUGAUGAUCAGGGAUCUUCAGUGAGCCCCCCUGAAGAUACCAAAGGCCGGAAGAAGAAGAAGGCAGCAGAACCUUAUGCUCCCACUGCAUACAAAUGCUACAGGAGCAGAAACAAACCGGGAAGCUCUGGGUUCCUCCCGGGGAGGCAAAACUGCACAGAGACACCCCAGCUGUGUUUGGCAGUGCCCUCCCUGCCUCCCCCGCUCCUCGCGUGAUCCCACUGCUGAGCCAGGAUCGAGCUGCCCAGUGCUGCAGAGCACCGUCCAGAGCUGGGCCGAGACCUCCUCCCCUUCCUCUCCUGCAGCUCCGCGUGCAGCCUCACCUCCUCCUGUGGCAGAGCUGCUGAUCCCAGGCGUGCUGUCGGGAUGCUCCUCUAACCCAGAGCUCCUGCCCACCCUGCCAAGAAAAAGCAAACCAACCCCCCGCCGCCAGCACGGCCCCCCAGCAGGGAACGCACACAGCUUCACGCCGCUCCCCUUCACCCUACCUCAGGACCGGUUAUUAUGUCCUACCUCAGAGACCAAAGGAGCACUGAUCUGGACAUUGGUACAAAACACAGCAGCGUCACUUUAAAACGCAAGUUGUGUUUUCGUUGUCAUGGGUAUUACAGCCCAAAGGUUGUAAUAAAGUUCAUGCAAAGGAGAACAAAUUACAGGUGUUCCAUACACAAAAGCAAAGAGGAAAGGUGUGAGGGUGUUUCCCAAUGAGAAGUAAGAUUCCAGAAAGGGACACAUGCAGGGACCCCAGAGGGAUGUGGAGGCAAACAGUAACUGCUGCAGAAGCAAUGGUACAGAGAGAGAAUUCACUGCUAGG